rnacentral:rRNA from 1 species
GACAGAGGGUGCGAACGUUGCUCGGAAUCACUGGGCGUAAAGCGCGUGUAGGCGGACCAGCAAGUCAGGUGUGAAAUCCCUGGGCUCAACCUAGGAACUGCAUCUGAAACUGCUGGUCUUGAGUGUCGGAGAGGGAAGCGGAAUUCCAGGUGUAGAGGUGAAAUUCGUAGAUAUCUGGAGGAACACCGGUGGCGAAGGCG